rnacentral:rRNA from 1 species
CAAGGUCGAACGGUAACAGGUCUUCGGAUGCUGACGAGUGGCGAGCGGGUGAGUAAUACAUCGGAACGUGCCCGAUCGUGGGGGAUAACGGAGCGAAAGCUUUGCUAAUACCGCAUACGAUCUACGGAUGAAAGCAGGGGACCGCAAGGCCUUGCGCGGACGGAGCGGCCGAUGGCAGAUUAGGUAGUUGGUGGGAUAAAAGCUUACCAAGCCGACGAUCUGUAGCUGGUCUGAGAGGACGACCAGCCACACUGGGACUGAGACACGGCCCAGACUCCUACGGGAGGCAGCAGUGGGGAAUUUUGGACAAUGGGCGAAAGCCUGAUCCAGCCAUGCCGCGUGCAGGAUGAAGGCCUUCGGGUUGUAAACUGCUUUUGUACGGAACGAAAAGACUCCUUCUAAUAAAGGGGGUCCAUGACGGUACCGUAAGAAUAAGCACCGGCUAACUACGUGCUAGCAGCCGCGGUAAUACGUAGGGUGCAAGCGUUAAUCGGAAUUACUGGGCGUAAAGCGUGCGCAGGCGGUUAUAUAAGACAGAUGUGAAAUCCCCGGGCUCAACCUGGGAACUGCAUUUGUGACUGUAUAGCUAGAGUACGGCAGAGGGGGAUGGAAUUCCGCGUGUAGCAGUGAAAUGCGUACAUAUGCGGAGGAACACCGAUGGCGAAGGCAAUCCCCUGGGCCUGUUACUGACGCUCAUGCACGAAAGCGUGGGGAGCUAAACAGGAUUAGAUACCCUGGUAGUCC